ACGGCCAUAUCAUGUUGAAACAAAGGAUCCUGUACGAUCACUGAAGUUAAGUACCCUCGAAUCUUUUCAGUACUUAGAUGGGUGACCGCUUGGGAAUACGAAGUG